UACGUAGGGGGCAAGCGUUGUCCGGAUUUAUUGGGCGUAAAGGGCGCGCAGGCGGUUUGGUAAGUUGUGGGUAAAAGGCAUUGGCUCAACCAAUGUAAGCCUGCAAAACUGCUAGACUUGAGUGCAGGAGAGGAGAGUGGAAUUCCCGGUGUAGCGGUGGAAUGCGUAGAGAUCGGGAGGAACACCAGUGGCGAAGGCGACUCUCUGGCCUGUAACUGACGCUGAGGCGCGAAAGCGUGGGUAGCGAACAGG
rnacentral:rRNA from 1 species